CGAACGCUGGCGGCGUGCCUAAUACAUGCAAGUCGAACGCUUCUUUCCUCCCGAGUGCUUGCACUCAAUUGGAAAGAGGAGUGGCGGACGGGUGAGUAACACGUGGGUAACCUACCCAUCAGAGGGGGAUAACACUUGGAAACAGGUGCUAAUACCGCAUAACAGUUUAUGCCGCAUGGCAUAAGAGUGAAAGGCGCUUUCGGGUGUCGCUGAUGGAUGGACCCGCGGUGCAUUAGCUAGUUGGUGAGGUAACGGCUCACCAAGGCCACGAUGCAUAGCC
rnacentral:rRNA from 1 species